GACGGAGGGUGCUAGCGUUGUUCGGAAUUACUGGGCGUAAAGCGCGCGCAGGCGGCUAUCCAAGUCAGUGGUGAAAGCCCGGAGCUCAACUCCGGAACUGCCAUUGAAACUGUUUAGCUUGAGGACGAGAGAGGUGAGUGGAAUUCCCAGUGUAGAGGUGAAAUUCGUAGAUAUUGGGAAGAACACCGGUGGCGAAGGCGGCUCACUGGCUCGUUUCUGACGCUCAGGCGCGAUAGCGUGGGGAUCAAACAGG
rnacentral:rRNA from 1 species